CCUACGGGUGGCAGCAGUGAGGAAUAUUGGUCACUGGGCGCGAGCCUGAACCAGCCAAGUAGCGUGAAGGAUGACUGCCCUACGGGUUGUAAACCUCUUUUAUAAAGGAAUAAAGUUAGGCACGUGUGCCUGUUUGCAUGUACUUCAUGAAUAAGGACCGGCUAACUCCGUGCCAGCAGCCGCGGUAAUACGGAAGAUCCGAGCGUUAUCCGGAUUUAUUUGGUUUAAAGGGAGCGUAGAUGGGUUGUUAAGUCAGUUGUGAAAGUUUGCGGGUCAACCGUAAAAUUGCCGUUGAUACUGGCAGCCUUGAGUACAGUUGAGGUAGGCGGAAUUCGUGGUGUAGCGGUGAAAUGCUUAGAUAUCACGAAGAACUCCGAUUGCGAAGGCAGCUUACUAAACUGCCACUGACAUUGAUGCUCGAAAGUGUGGGUAUCAAACAGGAUUAGAUACCCUUGUAGUC
rnacentral:rRNA from 1 species